rnacentral:rRNA from 1 species
GACGAACGCUGGCGGCGUGCCUAAUACAUGCAAGUCGAGCGGACUUAAAAAGCUUGCUUUUUAAGUUAGCGGCGGACGGGUGAGUAACGCGUGGGCAACCUGCCUGUAAGACUGGGAUAACUUCGGGAAACCGGAGCUAAUACCGGAUAAUCCUUUUCUACUCAUGUAGAAAAGCUGAAAGACGGUUUACGCUGUCACUUACAGAUGGGCCCGCGGCGCAUUAGCUAGUUGGUGAGGUAACGGCUCACCAAGGCGACGAUGCGUAGCCGACCUGAGAGGGUGAUCGGCCACACUGGGACUGAGACACGGCCCAGACUCCUACGGGAGGCAGCAGUAGGGAAUCUUCCGCAAUGGACGAAAGUCUGACGGAGCAACGCCGCGUGAGUGAUGAAGGUUUUCGGAUCGUAAAACUCUGUUGUUAGGGAAGAACAAGUACGAGAGUAACUGCUCGUACCUUGACGGUACCUAACCAGAAAGCCACGGCUAACUACGUG